rnacentral:rRNA from 1 species
AUUGAACGCUGGCGGCAGGCCUAACACAUGCAAGUCGAGCGGAUGAAGGGAGCUUGCUCCUGGAUUCAGCGGCGGCCGGGUGAGUAAUGCCUAGGAAUCUGCCUGGUCUUGGGGGAUAACGUCCGGAAACGGGCGCUAAUACCGCAUACGUCCUGAUGGAGAAAGUGGGGGAUCUUCGGACCUCACGCUAUCAGAUGAGCCUAGGUCGGAUUAGCUAGUUGGUGGGGUAAAGGCCUACCAAGGCGACGAUCCGUAACUGGUCUGAGAGGAUGAUCAGUCACACUGGAACUGAGACACGGUCCAGACUCCUACGGGAGGCAGCAGUGGGGAAUAUUGCACAAUGGGCGAAAGCCUGAUCCAGCCAUGCCGCGUGUGUGAAGAAGGUCUUCGGAUGGUAAAGCACUGUAAGUUGGGAGGAAGGGCAGUAAGUUAAUACCUUGCUGUUUUGACGGUACCAACAGAAUAAGCACCGGCUAACUUCGUG